GAGUCCAUUUGAACGCCCUGUAAACUGGCACUGUAGGUUCUCACCUGGUCCCAACCACAUUGGAAGCCUAAGUUGUGUUUCAGAAAGUUCCUAGGUCUAGAUUGAUGGAAGUUCUUGCAGUCAUUCUCAUUGUAGUGUAAAGUUUAUUGAGUCACCAGUUCUGGAAAUUCAUCUCUUAAUUUAUUUGCAUAGGAUAACUGAGGUGUCUGUUAAGUGCCUGGGAGAAUCCAUCUUAAUCGCGGCAGAGCUGGACGCAGCUUCCAGGACUGAAGAAUCAACAGAACUACAGUUUCAACAACCAAUUGUUUAAAUUGUGAAGAAAAACCAGCAAAAAAGGUAAUCUUUAUUCUUUU